rnacentral:rRNA from 1 species
UUCGCCCUUAGAGUUUGAUCCUGGCUCAGGACGAACGCUGGCGGCGCGCCUAACACAUGCAAGUCGAACGAGCGAGAGAGAGCUUGCUUUCUCGAGCGAGUGGCGAACGGGUGAGUAACGCGUGAGGAAUCUGCCUCAAAGAGGGGGACAACAGUUGGAAACGACUGCUAAUACCGCAUAAGCCCACGGUGCCGCAUGGCACAGAGGGAAAAGGAGCAAUCCGCUUUGAGAUGGCCUCGCGUCCGAUUAGCUAGUUGGUGAGGUAACGGCCCACCAAGGCAACGAUCGGUAGCCGGACUGAGAGGUUGAACGGCCACAUUGGGACUGAGACACGGCCCAGACUCCUACGGGAGGCAGCAGUGGGGAAUAUUGCACAAUGGGGGAAACCCUGAUGCAGCGACGCCGCGUGGAGGAAGAAGGUCUUCGGAUUGUAAACUCCUGUUGUUGGGGAAGAUAAUGACGGUACCCAACAAGGAAGUGACGGCUAACUACGUGCCAGCAGCCGCGGUAAAACGUAGGUCACAAGCGUUGUCCGGAAUUACUGGGUGUAAAGGGAGCGCAGGCGGGAAGACAAGUUGGAAGUGAAAUCUAUGGGCUCAACCCAUAAACUGCUUUCAAAACUGUUUUUCUUGAGUAGUGCAGAGGUAGGCGGAAUUCCCGGUGUAGCGGUGGAAUGCGUAGAUAUCGGGAGGAACACCAGUGGCGAAGGCGGCCUACUGGGCACCAACUGACGCUGAGGCUCGAAAGUGUGGGUAGCAAACAGGAUUAGAUACCCUGGUAGUCCACACCGUAAACGAUGAUUACUAGGUGUUGGAGGAUUGACCCCUUCAGUGCCGCAGUUAACACAAUAAGUAAUCCACCUGGGGAGUACGACCGCAAGGUUGAAACUCAAAGGAAUUGACGGGGGCCCGCACAAGCAGUGGAGUAUGUGGUUUAAUUCGACGCAACGCGAAGAACCUUACCAAGUCUUGACAUCCCUUGACAGACAUAGAAAUAUGUAAUCUCUUCGGAGCAAGGAGACAGGUGGUGCAUGGUUGUCGUCAGCUCGUGUCGUGAGAUGUUGGGUUAAGUCCCGCAACGAGCGCAACCCUUAUGGUCAGUUACUACGCAAGAGGACUCUGGCCAGACUGCCGUUGACAAAACGGAGGAAGGUGGGGAUGACGUCAAAUCAUCAUGCCCUUUAUGACUUGGGCUACACACGUACUACAAUGGCGUUAAACAAAGAGAAGCAAGACCGCGUGGUGGAGCAAAACUCAGAAACAACGUCCCAGUUCGGACUGCAGGCUGCAACUCGCCUGCACGAAGUCGGAAUUGCUAGUAAUCGUGGAUCAGCAUGCCACGGUGAAUACGUUCCCGGGCCUUGCACUCACCGCCCGUCA